AGCGACCCAGGAUUCAAUUACAACAUCAACCCUCAUAUUUCAGCGUAUGGGCAAAUUACCAGUGGAGUCAAGAAUAAAUUCAUUCUGCCCUACUGGAGCUUUAGAUCAGGUUGCACAAUCCCGGGGCAGAAGUGCCUUCGCCUAGCCCUAAAGCAUCAGGUACUAAAUACUGUACUAACUCAGUGUCAGGACAUUUUAAAGCGGGAGGGAAACUCAAGGGUCGCCUAAACCAAUUCAACAAGCCCAUAAUCCCGAAUUCAGGAAUUUGUCACGUCACUUGAGAUCAGAAUGAAGUUAAGUUUCGAUCCCUUUGAGAUCUCUUAGCGCACAAAGUCAGGCUAUGAUUACAAGAGGAGUCCGACCCUGGCUGUAGGAAAACGACUCGGUGCGGAACUCGAGUCUCUUCCGCCCACUGUGUGGGGCCGCACCAGUCAGGUCCAGCGAGGAGCUGGGGCGCGAGUUUGGGGGCGCAGCCGGGCCCGGCGGGGGCGGCGAGCGCGCGUCCCCCCGCCCGCUCAGGCAGCGUCGAGGCGCGAGCAGCUCAGCCAGCCUUGCAGAGGGAGCUCUCGGCAGCUCUGGGGUCUCUCUGCUCGCAGCCGCAGCAGCGCCGCCUGCGCCACUCGGCGGAGACGGAGACCAGAGGCGGCGGCGCGCGGACUGGGAGCGACCGCAGAGCAGCCGAGCAGCAGGGGUACGCUCGCAGAGCGGCCGGGGAUGCACCUGCGGACUUUACCCAACUUGCAAUGAUGAAGUUCACCUACCACAGACUGGAGGAUGUUCUGGUGGCUCAGGGAGGAGAGCCUUUGGUACUGAUGGGAACUGACUGAGGACUGUAUUCUGAACUCCCUUACUUUCGAUAUCACGGAUAACAAGCAGACCCAGCAUCAAGGAGACAGCUUCUGCGCUAUUCAGCAGAUUGUUUCAUUAUGAGGAUGCCAGCCCAAUAUUGACAGAUUUUUCUGGGUGUUUCUGAAAAAGGAAAUCAGACGGGCGCCUGUGUGGUAUAGUCGAAUAAGCGUCUGACUUUGGCUCAAGUCAUGAUCUUGGCGGUUCGUGAGUUUUAGCCUCGCAUUGGGCUUUUGUGCUGGCAGCUCCGAGCCUGGAGCUUGUUUUGGAUUCUGUGUCUCCUGCUCUCUCUGCCCCUUACCUGCUCAAGCUCGGUCUCUCAAAAAUAAACAUUAAAAAAAAGGGGGGGAUCAGAAAUCUAGAUUUUUGUAAUGUAAAUCUUCAGAUAUUUAGAUGUUAGCAACUAAAUCAGAUGUUUUUAAAAUGCAUAAGCUUGAUUAAACCAUUCGUGUGGGCUGUCAGUGUAUGGCCUCUGACUUGGAGAGGAGAAUGAAGAGAAAUUCCAAGGCCAGAUCCUAGACACUCCAGCAUUUAGAAAUAGGUAGGGUAAUGAAGGAGAAUGAGAGGGAGCAGCCAGGAAGGCAAGAAAGAAAUCCACAAGACUGUUGAGUUUGGAACCCAAGGGCAGAGAAGGUUUAGGGUAGGGAGGAGUGGUCAACUGUGCCUAGUGCUGCUGAGAGGUCAGCUUGGGCCAGAGACAUGGCUGUUGGACUGGUCACCUUGGAAGUCACUGGAGAAUAUCAAUGGUGACUGGCUUGAUUCAUGUUGGUAAAUCAACAGAUGCAGAUCUCACUAUAAUGAGUUUGAAGAGUGACUGGAAAAGUAAGGGAAUAGAGAUAGCACACAUAAGCAAGAUGAGAAGUUUUGUUGUGAAGGGAGCAAAGAAAUUUAGGGAUAAAUGGAAGGUAAUGGGUCAAGGGAGGAGAUGUUUUAAAACAUGAUACAGUUCUUGAUUGUGUUUAUGUGCCAUUGGGAGUGAUACAGGAGAGAGAAGGCUUGCUUGACUUACAUAGGAAUGAAACCCAUGAGAGGAUAUAAGGGAACGGAGAACUGACCUCAGGAACAGGAUGCUUCUGCUGUGAAGUAACGAAGGUGAAGAUGGAUGCAAAUGCUGGGGAGAGGAAAAGCAAGCUUACAGCUUUCCUGAGUAGGACUGCCUUGUCAGUAUUGGGUACCCAUUUGAAGUUUGUGAUCAUGACUUUAAAGUUAAACCAGUUGGCCCAGUAUGUGUUUUUUUCCAGCAACAUUCAGCUGCUUGGGUGCAGACAUGCAGAAAAGGGAUAAUUUGGUUUCUCAACACCAGGUCCUAAGUUUUCUGGUUCCUAAUCUCAGGUACUUGAUUUAUGUGACUAGCUAAUAUUCUAGAAAUAUGUGAAUAUUUGGAAAAUUUACAUGUGACCCCUUUUACUAGAAACCAAAUGAUCCCAUUUGUCUUUUAUGUACACCUGAGGACUCAAAAAUAAAACCCUCAAACUUAGAGGGAAAUUACCAUAUACCUCCAGAAUAUUUGUAUCUUGCAGUUUCUUCAGCUCUCAACCCCAAAUACCUCCUGGUAUAUCUAGGAACUAUGUACCAGAAACAACAAGACUGACUUGCACUUAAGUUCUUAGCUUCUUUUUCUUUCUGGUACAUUUAAUAAUCUGAUUAAUAAACUUUCUGUACAACUUUACCUGAAACCAUAAGAGUAAGCUAUGAGAAUGUCUUCAAGGGGCACCUGGGUGCCUCAUUCAGUUGAGCGGCCCACUUUGGCUCAGGUCAUGAUCUCAUGGUUUAUGAAUUUGGGCAUGGCAUUGGGCUCUGUGCUGACAGCUCAGAGCCUAGAGCCUGCUUCUGAUUCUGUGCCUCCCUCUCUCUCUGCCCCUCUCCUGCUCUGUCUCUCAAAAUAAACAAAUAUUUUUGAAAAAAAGAAAAAAAAGUCUUCUAAAGCUUUAAUAUGGGCAAAUAUAAGUCAAUGUAUUUAGAUGGAAAAAAACUCAACUAUAUUUACAGUUAUAUUAAUAGCUGCUAUGGUCUGAAUAUUUGUGUCCCUCUCAAAAUCCAUAUGUUGAAAUCCUAAUGCUGGAGUGCCCGAGUGGCUCCAUUGAUUAAGCAUCCGACUCUUGAUUUCAGCUCAGGUCAUGAUCUCACAGUUUGUGAGUUUGAGCCUGGAUUUGGGCUCUAUGCUGACAGUGUGGAGCCUGCUUGGGAUCCUCUCCCUACCUCUCUGCCCCUCCUCUGCUUGUGCUCACUCUCUCUCAAAAUGAAUAAAUAAACUUAAAAAAAAAAUCCUAAUACUUGAUGGGAUGGUAUUAGUAGGUGGGGCCUUUAGGAGGUACUUAAGUCAUGAGAGUAGAACCUUUAUAAAUAGGUUAAAUGCCUUGUAAAAGAGCUUCACAGAGAUCCCUAGUCCCUUCUACCAUGUUAAGGACACAGCCAGAAAGCAAUGGCUAUGAGCCAAGAAGAGGGCCUUAAUCAGAAAGCAACCAUGUUGGUACCUUGAUCUUGGACUACUGAGUCUCUAGAACUGUGAGCAAUAAAUUUCUGUUGUCUAUAAGUCACCCACCCAGUCAAUGGUAUUUUGUUAUAGCAGCCUGAACCGACCAAGACAACUAUGUUUAUGCCAACUAUAUCAAGGGUGCCUGGCUGUCUCAGUUAGUGGAGACUUUUUGAUCUUGGGGUUGUAAACUCAAGUCCCACAUUGGGUUUACAGAUUAUUUAAGAAUAAAAUCUUAAAAAAAAAAAACAACAAAAA